rnacentral:lncRNA from 1 species
CUCCUAAAUUCAUUGAACUUGUCUCAUAGCUUUACUCUGUAUUAUGCUGCAAAUGUGCCUUAAGAGACUUAUUAAAAUGUGAAGACAGUUUUUAUAACAUCAAACUAGACCUUAAUUUUGAACCAGAACAUGAUAAUCUAUAUUUAAACAAAGUGAGUGCUGAGGUAAAUGUUAUAGCCCUAUCAAACCAUACAGAGAGGAAGGGAGUGAGACAGCUGAGAAUCACAGUCCCAUAUUAUUUAGAGCCUGUUGUGCUCACAGAAGAUAGGCUGGCACAUUUUGAUUGAUGUUCCCCACCCAGUGUGUGUAUCCUAAAUGUAGAUUAGCAAAAUAGACCACGGUCUGGAAAAACACCUGGAGGCCCAAGUAGGUGGAAGCCAACUAGGAAACAGGCAACCCUUCAGAAAGAAACCUCUAUGGAAUAGAAAUGUAAGACAGUCUUUUCCACUUGUAACAUUCAGAAGUACAUUGGACUUUUGACAAUGACUUCCUGUGGAGUCACUAUUAAAGACUAUUUAGCUCCAGAAAUAAUGCUAUGUCUAUUCCUACCAGGUACGGUGACAUGCUUGAGUUUCACAUAUUCUGGUGUUUGAUAAUCUGGACACUCACUGUAAAGUUACUCAUAUGCUUCUUCUUAGAUUAUAGUAGUAUUAAGCAUUAAUUAAAUGUAGCCCCCUCUCUCUCCCUCUUUCUCUCUCAAUAGGACCUUGACAGGGGGCUUUGAUCUAAUGAUCAUGCUGGCCUCAGUCAGUAAGUAUUGGUACUAUAGGCCCAUGUCUGGAUGAGCCUCCAUCUUGGCAGGAUAUAUAUUUUGCCUCCUUUGCACAGCUAUCAUCUGAUCAAGCCCUCUUUUCUGAUCUCAUCACUCAGCUUUACUUUACUAGGUAUUAAAAUGAACUCUGUUCCUCUGGACUAUGAGAUUUCUGAGCCUCCAUGAAACUAAAAUUCACUAACCAUCCAUGUCAUCCUCGGAUGGGAAGUAACAGCAAUACAAAAUUACUCAUGCAAUAUUUAAGCUCAUAUGCCAUGAUGAGCCAGCCAUAGUGUUUCCCAUGGUACCUAAUAAUUCAGAAGUCUCCACUUAGACAAUAUGGAAUUUGACUGCCUCAUACAUCAUAUUUCUCUUCACGUUAGGGAACAUGUGGCUAUCUGAAGGUAUGAAAAUUAAUUUAGUCUAGAUUCAUAUUUUACAUUUACUCAAAUAUUUAUUUGUACUCAUAAAACGUUAAUUGAGGUAAUUUAAAAGGUGAAGAACUAAAAGACCUCUCAAAUAUUGACCAAAAGACUGUGGGAAGUAACUUAAAGAACUUAACAUCAAAAUCACUGCAGGCACAUUGCCAUAACCCUUCCAUACAAUCACAUCUCUCCUUAAAACCACACUCCCCACCUGGUGAAUUCAUGGACUGAUUUGCUCUACAAGGUGCCAUAAAUAUAGCUAAUGUGAGAAAUGUAACCAACUAGAAGGAAGAAAUAUAAAUGUACAAACAAGAUAUUUUUUGCUAGAGUCUGGGGCACUCGGGAGGUUCAUAAUCGCCAUACAAAUAUAUAAAAAUUUUUUAAGGAGAACGUUUAUUUUAAUCCAUUGUUUCUCCUUUGAUUCUUCGAGUCAACCCUGCAAAAGAAAAAGCAAACAUAUCAUUAGGUUCUUUCCCUCCUUAAUUUUAUUACGAUAUGACUAACAAACAGAAACUGUAUAUGUACAAUUUGAUGUGAUGUUUUGAUAUAUGCAUACACCAUGA